rnacentral:rRNA from 1 species
CCUACGGGUGGCAGCAGUGGGGAAUAUUGGACAAUGGGGGCAACCCUGAUCCAGCCAUGCCGCGUGUGUGAAGAAGGCCCUCGGGUUGUAAAGCACUUUCAGUGAGGAAGAACGCCUGGUGGUUAAUACCCGUCAGGAAAGACAUCACUCACAGAAGAAGCACCGGCUAACUCCGUGCCAGCAGCCGCGGUAAUACGGAGGGUGCGAGCGUUAAUCGGAAUUACUGGGCGUAAAGCGCGCGUAGGUGGCUUGAUAAGCCGGUUGUGAAAGCCCCGGGCUCAACCUGGGAACGGCAUCCGGAACUGUCAAGCUAGAGUGCAGGAGAGGAAGGUAGAAUUCCCGGUGUAGCGGUGAAAUGCGUAGAGAUCGGGAGGAAUACCAGUGGCGAAGGCGGCCUUCUGGACUGACACUGACACUGAGGUGCGAAAGCGUGGGUAGCAAACAGGAUUAGAUACCCUAGUAGUC